rnacentral:rRNA from 1 species
AAGGGGGCUAGCGGAUGGAAGUGCUAGUCUAAGGUCGUAGGAGGCUAUACAGGCAAAUCCGUAUAACAAUACUCCGAGAACUGAAAGGCUUUUUGAAGUCUUCGGAUGGAUAGAAGAACCCCUGAUGCCGUCGAGCCAAGAAAAGUUUCUAAGUUUAGCUAAUGUUGCCCGUACCGUAAACCGACACAGGUGGGUGGGAUGAGUAUUCUAAGGCGCGUGGAAGAACUCUCUUUAAGGAACUCUGCAAAAUAGCACCGUAUCUUCGGUAUAAGGUGUGGUUAGCUUCGUACUAGGAUUUACUCCGAAAGCGAAGAAACUUACAACAAAGAGUCCCUCCCGACUGUUUACCAAAAACACAGCACUCUGCUAACUCGUAAGAGGAUGUAUAGGGUGUGACGCCUGCCCGGUGCUCGAAGGUUAAUUGAUGGGGUUAGCAUUAGCGAAGCUCUUGAUCGAAGCCCGAGUAAACGGCGGCCGUAACUAUAACGGUCCUAAGGUAGCGAAAUUCCUUGUCGGUUAAAUACCGACCUGCAUGAAUGGCGUAACGAGAUGGGAGCUGUCUCAAAGAGGGAUCCAGUGAAAUUGUAGUGGAGGUGAAAAUUCCUCCUACCCGCGGCAAGACGGAAAGACCCCGUGGACCUUUACUACAGCUUGACACUGCUACUUGGAUAAGAAUGUGCAGGAUAGGUGGGAGGCUUUGAGUAUAUGACGCCAGUUGUAUAUGAGCCAUUGUUGAGAUACCACUCUUUCUUAUUUGGGUAGCUAACCAGCUUGAGUUAUCCUCAAGUGGGACAAUGUCUGGUGGGUAGUUUGACUGGGGCGGUCGCCUCCCAAAUAAUAACGGAGGCUUACAAAGGUUGGCUCAGAACGGUUGGAAAUCGUUCGUAGAGUAUAAAGGUAUAAGCCAGCUUAACUGCAAGACAUACAAGUCAAGCAGAGACGAAAGUCGGUCUUAGUGAUCCGGUGGUUCUGUGUGGAAGGGCCAUCGCUCAAAGGAUAAAAGGUACCCCGGGGAUAACAGGCUGAUCUCCCCCAAGAGCUCACAUCGACGGGGAGGUUUGGCACCUCGAUGUCGGCUCAUCGCAUCCUGGGGCUGGAGCAGGUCCCAAGGGUAUGGCUGUUCGCCAUUUAAAGCGGUACGCGAGCUGGGUUCAGAACGUCGUGAGACAGUUCGGUCCCUAUCUGCCGUGGGCGUAAGAAGAUUGAAGAGAUUUGACCCUAGUACGAGAGGACCGGGUUGAACAAACCACUGGUGUAGCUGUUGUUCUGCCAAGAGCAUCGCAGCGUAGCUAAGUUUGGAAAGGAUAAACGCUGAAAGCAUCUAAGCGUGAAGCCAACUCUAAGAUGAAUCUUCUCUAAGCUCUCUAGAAGACUACUAGUUUGAUAGGCUGGGUGUGUAAUGGAUGAAAGUCCUUUAGCUGACCAGUACUAAUAGAGCGUUUGGCUUAUCUUUAAUAAAGCAU